GACGAACCGUGCGAACGUUGUUCGGAAUCACUGAGCUUAAAGGGCGCGUAGGCGGGCCUCCAAGUCCGGGGUGAAAUCCUCCAGCCUAACUGGAGAAGAGCCUCGGAGACUGGGGGCCUCGAGGGAGGUAGGGGCGUGCGGAACUAUGGGUGGAGCGGUGAAAUGCAUUGAUAUCCAUAGGAACUCCGGUGGCGAAGGCGGCACGCUGGACCUCUUCUGACGCUGAGGCGCGAAAGCGUGGGGAGCAAACAGG
rnacentral:rRNA from 1 species